GUUUAAACAAACACCACCCUGAACACACCCGAUGUCAUCUGAUCUCAGAAGCUAAGCAGGGUUGGGCCUGGUUAGUACUUGGAUGGGAGAAAGGAGUAGAAUCAGACAGGGUUCAUAUACC
rnacentral:rRNA from 1 species